rnacentral:tRNA from 1 species
UCUAACGUGGCAGAUAAGUGCGGUGGAUUUAAGCUCCAUAAAUAAAGUUUCCAAACUUUCAUUAGAA